rnacentral:lncRNA from 1 species
CCGGAUGGCUCCUUGCGGCUCCUGGAAAGUCGAGGAGGCGGACUUGACCCGCCUCUUGCAUAUUGCUGUGUAUCCUAGUCUUACACUUGACAUCUUACGUCCGCAGCUGACCUGGCAGGCAGAAAGACGGUAGGUAGGCUGGAUGGGAAACGGACUGCACUGCCGCCACCCCCCAAUGAGAGCGGGUUAGGGGCGCCCAUCGCAGCCCAGCUUGCUCUCUCGCGAAGACUGCUUUGCCCAACGGUCAAGUUCCGAAUGUUGGCCUCCUUGUGUGCAGGCCACAGAGAAAGGGAUGAGGGUACGCGACAUCCUCCUCCUAAGCUUCUCCCCUUCACUUUCCUGGAUCCCCGACGGCCCUAAAACCGGCAGAACUUUAAUAUCCCAAGCGAGACCGUGGGUGGAUGCAGGGUCCUGGAAGCGGGGUACAUGCUACUUCGCGUGGGAAGGACUCAUGUGGCUAGGUAUGAUCCAACGAUGGUCGACGGCUGGUGAAUAUCGUCAGGACCUCUCUGGUUC